rnacentral:lncRNA from 1 species
AAGAUUUAGAAACUUUAUAGGCAGCUGUGAAAGAAAAGCAAGAAGAAUAUAUUUGCUUGGACAUAGGUGAGCUUUGGAGCUUUUCAAAGACUCUUGACAUUCCAAAGUGAAAAAUAAAUUAUUCUUAGCAUUUAUUUUUAGUGGUAUUUUGAACAUCACUUUUGUAUAUGUUUCAAGCAACUUAUCAAGAUUGCAUUAUGAUUAUCAUUUUAUAACUAGGACAACAAAAACAGAGAGAGCUUAGGGACAGGCCUUAAAGUUAGAGAUAGAUUGGGAUGGAGAAAAAAAUUUUGUCUGUCAAAAUAGACAUACCCAGUUUUUUCAGUAAGAAUUAUUUUGGUCGCAGAAACCCAAACCAAACUGAGCAGCAGUGGAAUGUAUUGCCUCAUAUAACUCCUAAGACUGGGGGUGGAUCUAGGUUUGGGUCCAGAGGGAUCCAAAGGCUCAAAUUAUCUUGGCUGCAACAUCUGCUGUGGAGAAUCUAAUUCUGUGUAGUCAGCUAAGAUGAUGCUGCCAGUUCUAGGAAUAUAUUGCCCUAACUUAAUAACCCCUGUUAAAAAUGGAAAGUUUUUCUUCUAGCAUCUUUAGUCUCUGGGAGGGACUUCUUUUAGCUAUAUCACUAUUUCCAAGAUGAUGGAGACUAUGAUCUUGGCCUGCAUCAUGUGCCCAUACUUGGUGUACUGAGAUUGGCAGCACCACUAAACUAUGAAAUGUGGAAUUGGGUGGUUGCUAAGCAAACUUGUGUGCAUUCUAAUAAUGCAGAUAUUGAAGCCAUGGUACUUAAAAUAUUUUUGUAGCUAAAUUGUAAAAAUUUCAAAAUUAAAACAAAACAAAUAAUAAUGACAUUAUUGAGAGCUUUCCUCUGCUCAUUUCUUUACAUGCAUGGUCACAAUUUCUUUUAAUAGCCCUAUGAGGCAGGUAGCAUCAUGCUUAUUUUAAAUGUGAAGAAAUUGAGGCCUGGAGAGAUUAAAUAAUUUGCCCAAGGUUAUAGUACUUGGAUGGUAGAGGCAAGGUAGUUACUCAGAUUUAUCAGACUCCACAGCUCCUGUUAUUUACCCCUAUAAUAGAUUGCUUCUUUGAUGGAUCAGUCUAGGUUAAGCUAGCAAGUCUACAGACUGCAGGAGGAUUUAUCGCUAUGAUUGGCUUAAUGUGCAGGAAAUCGUGCCCUGGAUUCUGUGUUGUUGCGUCUGUCUGAAGAUUGUUUUUGGUGUCUCCCAGUUUCUGUUUCUGAUUUUCCAUGCUGGGACACAGAUAGCUGUAUGUGAAUAGUCAACUCAUUGAAUACUCACAUUCUGCGAGGCACUCUGGAAGAAAUGGAAAGAAAACAUGAGUCCCACAACCCUUCUUUUAAGAAGUACCAUCAAAUGGCUUUAUAAAUGCUGAUAAACUGCACAUAAAUUAAUCCAAAUUCUUUCAUACAUGUCAUACAAGUGAUAGACAAAUGCUGAGAGAACUUGCCAUAUAGGAAUGUGUUUCUCUUAGGUGAGAGAGGGCAGACCAUGGAAUGGGAGUGAGGUGUGUGGAGGAUGGAGGUAUUCUAUGAGAGGGCAAAGAUGGAAACAAGCAGGUGAUGAUUCAACUCCAGGACACACAUUUAAUGAAGUAGCUGAUUUUCAAGACUCUGGAACACUGACUUUUUAAUAAUUUUAAUUUAAUUUAAUACAUUUUAUUUGUGGAGUUCCUCUCGUGGCUCAGUGUUCCUAGUCGGAUUCGUUAACCACUGCACCACGGCGGGAACUCCAGAUGUUUUAAUAUUGAUCUACACAGUCCACGUACAGUGCAAUAGAUUGAUUUGCACCUGCAGCAUAUGGAAGUUCAUAGACUGGGAAUAGAAUCGAACCUGUAGCUGCCAGCCUACAUCACAGCCACAGUGGGAACUCCCAAUUUUUAUACUUUUUAAUUUCAUCUUAGGAUACAGAAUAAUGACAGCCCUCACUAGAUUAAAGUGCUUAUACUGGAUAAUAAAGGAAUGAAAUGGUUUUAAAUGCUACCAAACUGUCUCGUAGCAGCCACAUCUGGCAGUAUUCUCAGACAGCCUUCUUUGUAUGUACAUUUUCACAUAGAUAUUUUUGCAUGUUUUUCCUCUGCUCUAAGGAGAUUAUGGUUGUUCUUAUUCCUCUACCACCUACCAGUUUCUUCCCACUAUUCUCCUAAUUUUUUUUCCCUCAUAUUUUCUCCUAUCACCUCUGUGCUUGAGACUUAAAAAGAAGAUUUGGGGAUUCUCUUUGUUUGUUUGUUUUUUGCUUUUUUAGGGCCGCAUCUGUGGCAUAUGCAAGUCCCUAGGCUAGGGGUCCAGUCAGAGCUGCAGCUGCCGGCCUACACCACAGCCACAGAGGUUCGGGAUCCAAGAUGUGGGAUCCAAGCUGUGUCUGCAACCUGCACUACAGCUUAUGGCAUUUUUAAUAUAUGCCAUAUCCUCCAAUCCACUGAGCGAGGCCAGGUAUUGAACCCUCGUCCUCAUGGAUACUAGUCAGAGUUGUUUCCGCUGCACCACAAUGGGAACUCCCAGACUUUGGGAUUCUUAAAGAAUCUCCACCCCUCGGGAUGUAGUCAAAGAAAUUGAGUCUUGUGCCAGAAGUGCUUCAGUCCCAUACUGAAGCCUGAGAGGACAAGAUACUAGGGGAAAAAAAUACAGCAAAGCAUUUCUGAUGGCCAUUAGCUCUAUGUGACCUUGGAAAAAAAUGCUAGCAUUUACAAGUCUUACAUUUCUUAUCUAUUAAAAGUAAGAUGACUUUCAAUUCUCAUUUUUUAUAAUUCUAAAUAUGUGAUAGAGAAUGAAGUUUACUAUAAAUUGACUGUUUACAGGAGUUCUCCUUGUGGUGCAGUGGAAACGAAUCUGACUAGUGACCGUGAGGAUUUGGGUUCGAUCCCUGGCCUCUCAGCAGGUUAAAGAUCCCGCAUUGCUGUGGCUGUGGUGUAGGCUGGCAGCUAUAGAACCUGGGAACCUCCAUAUGCUGCGAGUGUGGCCCUAAGAAGCAAAACAAACAACAAAUAAAUAAAUAGACUUAUUUACAAAUACAUGGAUUGUCAGAGAACUGGAAUAAUCAAGUUCGUUUGUUUAUUUAUUAUUUUAUUUAUGUCAUUUUUAGGGCUGCACCUGCAGCAUAUGGAAAUUCCUAGGUUAGGGGUCAAAUCAGAGCUGUACCUGCCAGCCUGUGCGACAGCCACAGCAACGCCAGAUCCAAGCUGCAUCUGUGACCUAUACCACAGUUCACAGCAACGCCGGAUCCUUAACCCACUGAGCGAGGCCAGGGAUUGAACCUGUGUCCUCAUGGAUACUAGUCAUACCCAUUUCUGCUGAGCCAUGAUGGGAACUCCCAAAUUAAUUUUAAUACUGAAGAUAUUCUAAACAUAGUGAAUCUCUCUUUGAUCAUUCAGAUGGAGCC